UGAUUGACGGUAGGUUGUCCACACCAACUAGUAUAAGGAGGGUUGUCUCCUGUUUUGCCACACAGAUCUUUACUCUAGACUACUGAGGUAUUCCGUAUGUGAAUCUCUGUCUGCAAUUGCAUUGUAUGACUAAAGAGUUUCAUACCAAGGUUCCUGUGUCUGUGUCAUCUAUCUGGAAGACUGAUUGGUAAAGGAAACUAUCAUCACCCAACAUUUGGCGAGCUCGCCAGGAGUGAGUGACCACUGCGUCUGGAUGAUCUUCGUCCCGCUGUGCAGCGCAUCAAAUUAUAAGGAAAGCUCAGGAGGGGGUACCAGGUGAGGACCCCGACUACCUGCCUGUAGAGGUUGGAGACUGAGUCAAAAUCCGGGUCCACAAGAGAAAAUGGAACCAGCCAAGAUGGAUGGGGCCAUUCAAGGUAACCAUGGCAACACCAACGGCGGUCAGAGUUCAAGAAAGGUCCGGCUGGCACCACCUGUCCCACUGCCAGAAGGUGUUCAGCCCACAGGAGAUGAUGGAGCCAGACACAGCCUGAAACAAGAGGCAGAAGCAGAUGUGAGUUGAGACCAAAGACUUGAAAAAGAUGAAGGGCAAGACCAAAGCCCUGAAGAACCAACUGUUUUACAUGAUCAGCAAGGUUAUGUUGUAAACAAACAAACCCUUAGGGGGUUUAAGAGAGGGAAGAUGACAGCAUGUGGUCAUUGGUGGUUGACUGUGUUGGCUCUAUCCACAUUACUUGUUGGUGUGGGUGAAGCCAGCCCUGUCAACACUUGGGUAAAGUUUGUUCGAGACUUAGGUGGAAAAGUGUCCCCAAACGGGACUGCGGUGUUAAUUUUGUCUAAACCCAAAUCCAUGAGUGAGUUGUUUGGUUCAAUGAGUAGACAUAUGGCAAAGACAGAUCACGCCUGUGGACCAAAAUCCUGCUUGAUAUGUCCAAGCUCUCUAAUACUCUCAGCCCUAGUGACGAGUGUUCUGUCCACGAUGGGUAAAUGGCUCACUGGGUUAUUUGGAAAUGUUAAGGGCCAGAUUUUAAUGGUUAUCUUAUCAUUUGUAGUUCCUGUGUUGAUAGACUUUUGUUGUGUUUAGAUUUGUUGUUGUCUUGGUAAAUGGGCAGUGAAGAAGACCAUGCCUGGUUUAAUGGUAUUGGCUUUACCUGCCUCCUAUGAUGAAUACUAUGAUGCCACUGGUGUUGACCCCAACCAUGACCCUCUUGCUUGCCCAACUGACCCAGAGGAUGAUUCCUAUACUACCUAUAUGUGAAUGGUUAAAGUUCCAGAUGUCUAACGUCGAUUUCUGUACAUGGUUAUAUGAGACUAGGUAGUCUCAAAGGGGGGAAUGUUGGGGGUUACCCUGGGGUUCAGGUGUGGGGUUACCCCAAUGCCAUGAUUACUGUAUAUAUGUGAUAACCUUUGUAUACUUGCAAUGCGCAAUGAUGGAAAAGUACUGGGUAAAUGGAGUCGUACUGCUUUAGUUCUCAGGCUGAGAUUUGUCUGCACCUGCUGAUAGUCACACAGGCUAAAGGCCGAAAUAGUAGAGUGAGAAACCACAGUCUAGACAUGUUUUUCUCAUUUGACAUACUUUGUAUCUAAUCCAAUGCCACAAAGUUAAGGAAUGAUUGACGGUAGGUUGUCCACACCAACUAGUAUAAGGAGGGUUGUCUCCUGUUUCGCCACACAGAUCUUUACUCUAGACUACUGAGGUAUUCUGUAUGUGAAUCUCUGUCUGCAAUUGCAUUGUAUUACUAAAGAGUUUCAUACCAAG